AUCCAUUAAAACUGUCUAUGCAAUUACCUGCAAGACAGGAAACUUCGCAAGUGCAUCAGGCUUGAACUCUUCCACCACUAAAAUGGUUUCCAGUAAACUCACAUCUGCUCUGCUCAGCUUGUUGCCAACAAGAAAGUCUUGUCCGUGGUCCUUCAAAGCCUUCG